UACGUAGGGCGCAAGCGUUGUCCGGAAUUAUUGGGCGUAAAGAGCUCGUAGGCGGUUUGUCGCGUCUGCUGUGAAAACCUAAGGCUCAACCUUGGGCUUGCAGUGGGUACGGGCAGACUAGAGUGCGGUAGGGGUGACUGGAAUUCCUGGUGUAGCGGUGGAAUGCGCAGAUAUCAGGAGGAACACCGAAGGCGAAGGCAGGUCACUGG
rnacentral:rRNA from 1 species